CGCCACCUGCGGUGUUCGAGGCGGGUUCGGGAACCUCUCGACCCUAAUUUGAAAAACCCAGGGGCCGUAUCUUGCGGCAAGAGUGUGCAAGUCCGCCUCGAGCGGGAAGCCUUUAUUGCUGCAGUAAGCCCCACCUGUUGCUCCGGUCGGGAGCGACGAUCCAAUACGGCACAGGCGGGUGGCGC
rnacentral:other from 1 species